rnacentral:lncRNA from 1 species
UUCUUCUGUGCUUAGUGAUUCACCUUCACAUGAAUCUAACACUGUUUUUGGUGAAGACUCUAUUCUCUUUUCUUCCAAGGUAGAGUUACUAAUAUGAGUGGUCUUUUCGGACCACCUUGAACUUAAUUUUUGAAAUUCUAGCACACGAAAUAUUUGUUAAUAAGAAGACACCAAAGAAAUAAAAAUCUGAUUGUUUUCAUGAAAUAUUUGAUUGAAACUAACCUUCAUUAUGCAUGAAGUCGGAGUGAAAAUUUUGUUGUGGCUGCUCACGUCUCCCAACAAGGACUAAUGAACAGCCUUUAGGAGCAUUAUCAAAACAGUAUCUUGUAGUUUCUUGUGGAACUCUAAUCACCAGAAAGGC